rnacentral:tRNA from 1 species
CGGGAUAUAGCGCAGUUUGGUAGCGUGUCUGUUUUGGGAACAGGAUGUCGUAGGUUCAAAUCCUUCUAUCCCGA